rnacentral:lncRNA from 1 species
UCCAAUCCCUAAAUCUCCCCCCUAAACCUAACAAUUUUCUCCACUCUCUGUUUACCAAGUAGUUGCUAGCCGGUUAACAUCUCAGAUGGCGACACCAGAGGAAAAAAUUAAAGGAGCGUGACAUGCAGCGGUGGCGCCUCCACUGUCACGCCACGCUGCAAAAUCGCACUGUUGCGGACGGUUUGCAGAGUCGUUCGUGGUGUCUAGCCUGGCCCUACGACGUAGUGAGAGGUAUCCCUCGCCUGGCAAUGUAAGGGGGUAUGAAGAUCUCUUCUUUUUUCCUUGUUUUGAUUGGUUCCAUG